rnacentral:rRNA from 1 species
GAGUUUGAUCUUGGCUCAGAUUGAACGCUGGCGGCAUGCCUUACACAUGCAAGUCGAACGGCAGCACGGGAGCUUGCUCCUGGUGGCGAGUGGCGAACGGGUGAGUAAUGCAUCGGAACGUAUCCUGGAGUGGGGGAUAACGUAGCGAAAGUUACGCUAAUACCGCAUAUUCUGUGAGCAGGAAAGCGGGGGACCUUCGGGCCUCGCGCUCUUGGAGCGGCCGAUGUCGGAUUAGCUAGUUGGUGAGGUAAAGGCUCACCAAGGCGACGAUCCGUAGCAGGUCUGAAAGGAUGAUCUGCCACACUGGAACUGAGACACGGUCCAGACUCCUACGGGAGGCAGCAGUGGGGAAUUUUGGACAAUGGGGGCAACCCUGAUCCAGCCAUGCCGCGUGAGUGAAGAAGGCC